rnacentral:rRNA from 1 species
UACAGAGGUCUCAAGCGUUGUUCGGAAUUACUGGGCGUAAAGGGCGCGUAGGCGGUUCGCUAAGUUGGAUGUGAAAACUCUGGGCUUAACCCAGAGCCUGCAUCCAAAACUGGCAAACUUGAGUACUGGAGGGGAAAGCGGAAUUCCUGGUGUAGCGGUGAAAUGCGUAGAUAUCUGGAGGAAUACCGGUGGCGAAGGCGGCAUCCUGGACCGGCAUUGACGCUGAACAGCGAAAGCUAGGGGAGCAAACGGG